GAUGAACGCUAGCGAUAGGCUUAACACAUGCAAGUCGAGGGGCAGCGAGGGUAGCAAUACCUGUCGGCGACCGGCGCACGGGUGAGUAACGCGUAUGUAACCUGCCCGCAACAGGGGGAUAACCCGGCGAAAGUCGGACUAAUACCGCAUAAAACAGGGGUCCCGCAUGGGAAUAUUUGUUAAAGAUUUAUCGGUUGCGGAUGGGCAUGCGUACCAUUAGGUAGUUGGUGAGGUAACGGCUCACCAAGCCUUCGAUGGUUAGGGGUUCUGAGAGGAAGGUCCCCCACACUGGUACUGAGACACGGACCAGAAUCCUACGGGAGGCAGCAGUGAGGAAGAUUGGUCAAUGGGCGAGAGCCUGAACCAGCCAAGUCGCGUGAAGGAUGACUGCGCUAUGGGUUGUAAACUUCUUUUACAAGGGAAUAAAAUGAGAUACGUGUAUUUUAUUGCAUGUACCUUGGGAAUAAGCAUCGGCUAACUCCGUG
rnacentral:rRNA from 1 species